rnacentral:rRNA from 1 species
AACGAACGCUGGCGGCAUGCCUAACACAUGCAAGUCGAACGAAGGCUUCGGCCUUAGUGGCGCACGGGUGCGUAACGCGUGGGAAUCUGCCCUUUGCUUCGGAAUAACAGUUAGAAAUGACUGCUAAUACCGGAUGAUGUCGCAAAACCAAAGAUUUAUCGGCAAAGGAUGAGCCCGCGUAGGAUUAGCUAGUUGGUGGGGUAAAGGCCUACCAAGGCGACGAUCCUUAGCUGGUCUGAGAGGAUGAUCAGCCACACUGGGACUGAGACACGGCCCAGACUCCUACGGGAGGCAGCAGUGGGGAAUAUUGGACAAUGGGCGAAAGCCUGAUCCAGCAAUGCCGCGUGAGUGAUGAAGGCCUUAGGGUUGUAAAGCUCUUUUACCCGGGAUGAUAAUGACAGUACCGGGAGAAUAAGCUCCGGCUAACUCCGUG